rnacentral:rRNA from 1 species
AUUGAACGCUGGCGGCAUGCCUAACACAUGCAAGUCGAACGGUAACGCGGAGAGCUUGCUCUCUGGCGACGAGUGGCGGACGGGUGAGUAAUACUUAGGAAUCUGCCCAGUAGUGGGGGACAACAUUCGGAAACGGAUGCUAAUACCGCAUACGCACUACGGUGGAAAGUGGGGGACCUUCGGGCCUCACGCUAUUGGAUGAGCCUAAGUCGGAUUAGCUUGUUGGUAGGGUAAUGGCCUACCAAGGCGACGAUCCGUAGCUGGUCUGAGAGGACGAUCAGCCACACUGGGACUGAGACACGGCCCAGACUCCUACGGGAGGCAGCAGUGGGGAAUAUUGGACAAUGGGCGCAAGCCUGAUCCAGCAAUGCCGCGUGUGUGAAGAAGGCCUGCGGGUUGUAAAGCACUUUCAGUAGAGAAGAAAAGCUUGGGGUUAAUAACCCUGAGUCUUGACGUAACCUACAGAAGAAGCACCGGCUAACUCCG